rnacentral:rRNA from 1 species
AAUUAUAGCCACAUCACCUAAACACGCCUGACCUCAUCUGAUCUCAGAGGCUAAGCAAUAAGGCUUGGUUAGAACUUGGAUACAAGAUAACAGUGAUAUUUGUGUUAACACUGUGAUUA